rnacentral:tRNA from 1 species
AGGAUUAUAGUUUAAUUUAAAACAUUUGAUUUGCACUCAAAAUAUAUUUUCCAUAAAUUUAUCUUA